UACGGGGGGAGCAAGCGUUGUUCGGAUUUACUGGGCGUAAAGGGCGCGUAGGCGGUCAGCACAAGUCAGUUGUGAAAUCUCCGGGCUUAACUCGGAAAGGUCAACUGAUACUGUGCGACUAGAGUGCGGAAGGGGCAACUGGAAUUCUUGGUGUAGCGGUGAAAUGCGUAGAUAUCAAGAGGAACACCUGCGGCGAAGGCGGGUUGCUGGGCCGACACUGACGCUGAGGCGCAAAAGCCAGGGGAGCGAACGGG
rnacentral:rRNA from 1 species